AUACGGAGGGUCCGAGCGUUAUCCGGAUUUAUUGGGUUUAAAGGGAGCGUAGGCGGAUGUUUAAGUCAGUGGUGAAAGUUUAAGGCUCAACCUUGAAAUUGCAGUUGAUACUGGGCGUCUUGAGUGCAUUAAAUGUGGGCGGAAUUCGUGGUGUAGCGGUGAAAUGCUUAGAUAUCACAAAGAAUUCCAAUUGCGAAGGCAGCUCACAAGGCUAUAACUGACGCUGAUGCACGAAAGUGUGGGGAUCAAACAGGAUUAGAUACCCUGGUAGUCCACACUGUAAACGAUGAAUACUCGCUGUUGGCGAUAUAAAGUAGGCGGUCAAGCGAAAGCGUUAAGUAUUCCACCUGGGGAGUACGCCCGCAAGGGUGA
rnacentral:rRNA from 1 species